GAUGAACGCUGGCGGCGUGCCUCAAACAUGCAAGUCGAGCGGGGCUAUGUAAUAUCGCAAGGUAGAACAUAGCCUAGCGGCGAACGGGUGAGUAACACGUGGGUAACCUGCCUGGAAGACAGGGAUAACGAUUCGAAAGGGUCGCUAAUACCUGAUAAUAUCCUUUCAUCGCAUGGUGAUAGGAAGAAAGGGGAAACCCGCUUUCAGAUGGGCCCGCGUCCCAUCAGCUAGUUGGUAAGGUAAAGGCUUACCAAGGCGACGACGGGUAGCCGGUCUGAGAGGAUGUACGGCCACACUGGGACUGAGAUACCGGCCCAGACUCCUACGGGAGGCAGCAGUUGGGAAUCUUAGGCAAUGGACGAAAGUCUGACCUAGCGACGCCGCGUGAGGGAAGAAGGCCUUCGGGUUGUAAACCUCUGUCAUGGGGGAAGAAGUAAGUGACGGUACCCCAAGAGGAAGCCCCUGCUAACUACGUG
rnacentral:rRNA from 1 species